rnacentral:rRNA from 1 species
UAACUGUAAACGAUGCGGACUUGGUGUUGGGGUGGCUUUGAGCUGCUUCAGUGCCGAAGGGAAGCUGUUAAGUCCGCCGCCUGGGAAGUACGGCCGCAAGACUGAAACUUAAAGGAAUUGGCGGGGGAGCACCACAACACGUGGAGCCUGCGGUUUAAUUGGAUUCAACGCCGGACAUCUCACCAGAGGCGACAGCUGUAUGAUAGCCAGGUUGAAGACUCUACUUGACUAGCUGAGAGGAGGUGCAUGGCGUAGUCGUGU